CCGCAGGUGCUCUGACGAGGUUGCACUACUGUGCUCUGAGAAGCAGUGCAAUGAUAUUGUCAAAGCAUCUGGGACCA
ensembl:miRNA